rnacentral:lncRNA from 1 species
GCCUGGAGCAGCAGAGGGGUAAUGCAGGCAGCGGCGAAGCAGCUGACUGGGGACAGUCUGCCACUCGACACAGCGUUAUCGAUGUAAUUACACAAAGGACAAGUUUUCUAUUUGAAAAAAGAGCCAGAGUACAGGAGGCAGCUCCCGCCAAAACAACAGCCGUGUUGGCAGCACCAGUCACUCCUGCUGCUGCUGUUGGUGUCCAGGCAUCCUGGCAUGAGCUGGCUUUAUGGAUCCCAGCUGGGCAGAAUGAAUGAGAAGCCUGCCCCUCUACUGACCCCAGGGAAGUACACAAGAGGCAUCAGUCACUUCCCAGAAACUGUGUCCUUUUAGGAGAACUCUGGCUGGCCGCUACAAGGAGGAGGGGGACCCAAGGGUGAUAAAAGAGCCUGCAGCAUGCCAUGCCCUUCUGUCUGAAACCAUGGACGGUCCACCGGAUGAAGUGCUGGAAAACAAGCCCAGAGCAGGAAGACUUCUGCCAGGUGAACAGGGAGAUUUAACUAGCAGGGUUGCCUCCCUCCUCUCUCCAGCAUAGAAGAUGAUGAAUCCCAGAAUGAUUUCAUGAUUACAUCUUGUCAAAAGAGGGCAGAAUUUAGACCCUUUCUUUAUUAUUAUUUUUUUAAAUAUAAAUUUAUUUAUUUUAAUUGGAG